UACGUAGGGGGCAAGCGUUGUCCGGAAUCAUUGGGCGUAAAGAGCGUGUAGGCGGCCAGAUAAGUCCGCUGUGAAAUCUCGAGGCUCAACCUCGAGACGCCGAUGGAAACCAUCUGACUAGAGUCCGGAAGAGGAGAGUGGAAUUCCUGGUGUAGCGGUGAAAUGCGCAGAUAUCAGGAAGAACACCCGUGGCUAAGGCGGCUCUCUAGUACGGUACUGACGCUGAGACGCGAAAGCGUGGGGAGCGAACAGG
rnacentral:rRNA from 1 species